rnacentral:rRNA from 1 species
UGCGUAGGGUGCAAGCGUUGUCCGGAAUUAUUGGGCGUAAAGAGCUCGUAGGCGGUCUGUCGCGUCGGAUGUGAAAACCCAGGGCUCAACCCUGGGCCUGCAUUCGAUACGGGCAGACUAGAGUUCGGUAGGGGAGACUGGAAUUCCUGGUGUAGCGGUGAAAUGCGCAGAUAUCAGGAGGAACACCGGUGGCGAAGGCGGGUCUCUGGGCCGAAACUGACGCUGAGGAGCGAAAGCGUGGGGAGCAAACAGG